rnacentral:rRNA from 1 species
GACGAACGCUGGCGGCGUGCUUAACACAUGCAAGUCGAACGGAAAGGCCCUGCUUUUGUGGGGUGCUCGAGUGGCGAACGGGUGAGUAACACGUGAGUAACCUGCCCUUGACUUUGGGAUAACUUCAGGAAACUGGGGCUAAUACCGGAUAGGAGCUCCUGCUGCAUGGUGGGGGUUGGAAAGUUUCGGCGGUUGGGGAUGGACUCGCGGCUUAUCAGCUUGUUGGUGGGGUAGUGGCUUACCAAGGCUUUGACGGGUAGCCGGCCUGAGAGGUUGACCAGCCACAUUGGGACUGAGAUACGGCCCAGACUCCUACGGGAGGCAGCAGUGGGGAAUAUUGCACAAUGGGCGGAAGCCUGAUGCAGCAACGCCGCGUGCGGGAUGACGGCCUUCGGGUUGUAAACCGCUUUCGCCUGUGACGAAGCGUGAGUGACGGUAAUGGGUAAAGAAGCACCGGCUAACUACGUG